rnacentral:rRNA from 1 species
CCUACGGGAGGCAGCAGUGGGGAAUAUUGGGCAAUGGGCGCAAGCCUGACCCAGCAACGCCGCGUGAAGGAAGAAGGCUUUCGGGUUGUAAACUUCUUUUGUCAGGGAAGAGUAGAAGACGGUACCUGACGAAUAAACCACGGCUAACUACGGGCCAGCAGCCGCGGUAAUACGGAGGUGGCAAGCGUUGUCCGGAUUUACUGGGUGUAAAGGGCGUGUAGCCGGGUUGGCAAGUCAGAUGUGAAAUCCUGCGGCUUAACCGCAGAACUGCAUUUGAAAAUGUUGAUCUUGAGUACUGGAGAGGCAGACGGAAUUCCUAGUGUAGCGGUGAAAUGCGUAGAUAUUAGGAGGAACACCAGUGGCGAAGGCGGUCUGCUGGACUGCAACUGACGGUGAGGCGCGAAAGCGUGGGGAGCAAACAGGAUUAGAUACCCCGGUAGUC